rnacentral:rRNA from 1 species
GGAAGGAUCAUUGUCGAAACCUGCAGAGCAGAAUGACUUGAGGACUUGUGAAAAUGCGUAAGUGCGGGGUUGGAUUUAUAUCUUGGGUCCAACCUCGACGAACAAAAACACCGGCGCAGCAGCGCCAAGGAAUUCCGGAAAGAGAAUGCCAGCUUGCAAGUGUCUUUGGUGCUUGUGGGGGCGGCAUCAUCUGAAGCAAAAAUAAUGACUCUCGGCAAUGGAUAUCUCGGCUCUCGCAUCGAUGAAGAACGUAGCGAAAUGCGAUACUUGGUGUGAAUUGCAGAAUCCCGUGAACCAUCGAAUCUUUGAACGCAAGUUGCGCCCGAAGCCAAUUAGGUUGAGGGCACGUUUGUUUGGGCGUCACGCGUCGUGUCGCUCCUCCUGUGUUUUGGGAAGGGAGCGGAUCGUGGCCUCCCGGGCCUUUCCUCGGGCGUGGUUGGCCGGAACUCUUGCCCCGACGAUGUUCAAUGUCUUGGCGUGUGGUGGGUGUACCAAGUGUGCAUGAAAGCACGCCUAGUGCGGUCGAAUGUGGCGUUAGGACCCCUUUGGAGCCGGCGGAGUCGGCUCUCUGAUUGCGACCCCAAGUCAGGCGGGACUAC